AUUGAACGCUGGCGGCAUGCUUUACACAUGCAAGUCGAACGGUAACAGGCCGCAAGGUGCUGACGAGUGGCGAACGGGUGAGUAAUGCAUCGGAACGUGCCCAGUCGUGGGGGAUAACUACUCGAAAGAGUAGCUAAUACCGCAUACGAUCUAUGGAUGAAAGCGGGGGACCGUAAGGCCUCGCGCGAUUGGAGCGGCCGAUGUCAGAUUAGGUAGUUGGUGGGGUAAAGGCUCACCAAGCCAACGAUCUGUAGCUGGUCUGAGAGGACGACCAGCCACACUGGGACUGAGACACGGCCCAGACUCCUACGGGAGGCAGCAGUGGGGAAUUUUGGACAAUGGGCGCAAGCCUGAUCCAGCAAUGCCGCGUGCGGGAAGAAGGCCUUCGGGUUGUAAACUGCUUUUGUGCGGAACGAAACGGCUCUGGUUAAUACCCGGGGCUAAUGACGGUACCGUAAGAAUAAGCACCGGCUAACUACGUG
rnacentral:rRNA from 1 species